rnacentral:tRNA from 1 species
GGUUCCGUAGCUCAGUUGGAUAGAGCAACAGAUUUCUAAUCUGUGGGUCGUGAGUUCGAGUCUCACCGGAAUCAC